GCUCAGUUGGUAAAGCGCUCGUCUAGCAUACAAGAGUCCUGGGUUCGAAUCCCAG
rnacentral:tRNA from 1 species